AUUGAACGCUGGCGGCAGGCCUAACACAUGCCAGUCGAGCGAGCGGCGGACGGGUGAGUAAUGUCUGGGAAACUGCCUGAUGGCGGGGGAUAACUACUGGAAACGGUAGCUAAUACCGCAUACCAUCAGAUGUGCCCAGAGGGGAUUAGCUAGGAGGUGGGGUAACGGCUCACCUAGGCGACGAUCCCUAGCUGGUCUGAGCGGAUGACCAGCCACACGGGAACGUAGACACGGUCCAGAGUCCUACGGUAGGCAGCAGUGGGGAAUAUUGCAAAAUGGGCGCAAGCCGGAUGCAGCCAUGCCGCGUGUGUGAAGAAGGCUUUCGGGUUGUAAAGCACUGUCAGCGGGGAGGCGUUACCCGCAGAAGAAGCACCGGCUAACUCCGUGCCAGCAGCCGCGGUAAUUC
rnacentral:rRNA from 1 species